UACAGGGGGGGCAAGCGUUGUUCGGAAUUACUGGGCGUAAAGGGCUCGUAGGUGGCCAACUAAGUCAGACGUGAAAUCCCUCAGCUUAACUGGGGAACUGCGUCUGAUACUGGAUGGCUUGAGUUUGGGAGAGGGAUGCGGAAUUCCAGGUGUAGCGGUGAAAUGCGUAGAUAUCUGGAGGAACACCGGUGGCGAAGGCGGGUCUCUGGGCAAUUCCUGACGCUGAGGCGCGAAAGCGUGGGGAGCAAACGGG
rnacentral:rRNA from 1 species